AUGCGGAGGGUGCAAGCGUUAUUCGGAAUCACUGGGCGUAAAGGACGCGUAGGCGGGUUGGCAAGUCAGAUGUGAAAUCCUACAGCUUAACUGUAGAACUGCAUUUGAAGCUGCUAACCUAGAGUAUGGGAGGGGGAGAUGGAAUUAGUGGUGUAGGGGUAAAAUCCGUAGAUAUCACUAGGAAUACCGAAAGCGAAGGCGAUCUCCUGGAACAUAACUGACGCUAAGGCGUGAAAGCGUGGGGAGCAAACAGGAUUAGAAACCCUAGUAGUCC
rnacentral:rRNA from 1 species